CAGAGGAGAGACAAAUGCUAACAAAGAAAGCAGCAACUGGUAUUGCAGUCAUCAAUGUAUCACCACAGCAUUUGGAUAUCUUAUUGGAGUCAUUUAGCUUUGGCUGAGUGACUUCUGCUUUCGCAGGACUCACACCUUCAUGACUCCGCAGUGUUAAUCUCAGUGGUUAGCUGAGUGGUCAUGUUUAUUCACCUUCAAAGUGGAUGAAACCGAUUGAGGUGGAUAAUAAGAUCGUCGUUUCUGAGAGUGUGAUUUACUCUGAUUCUGCCAGUCAUUCACCCCACUUUGGCGGUGUUGAUGGUUUUUCCUUUGUCUGGGAUAAAACCCACCGUGACGGGAGUCUGAAUAACAACAGUUGGUCUCAAAGUUUACCUGGCGUUGGUCUGUGUCAGAACUGGGCCUUGGUGUGUAACUUUGACCUUUGUGAGUGUGUUGAGGUCGAAAAGGUUUUGGAGGCCUGGUUAACCACUCAUUUGGAGGCUUAUCGGAGCCUGAAAAUACACAGUCUGAAGCUUCGUUCAGCUCCAUGGGCAGUGAUUUUGUCUCCAUAGCCAAGAGAGUAACGGGCUCUGCUUUCUUAGCCAAAGUUUGUCGUUGUUUGGCAAAACCUUUUACAGCAAGUUCACGAAGCUGUCGGCUAGUCAAAGUGUUUGGACAAGCUAAGACGCCAAGGUAAUGACUGAUGGUAGGGUGGAGGUUCUGGACGAACAGCGUUUUGAAGUUCAAGUCCUCCUCCAUUUCUGGUUCAUUUCGGAAACCAAAGUAAGCUUCGCGUAAGCGGUUGUAAUACUGUUGGGGAGGUUCUGAUCUCCCUUGUUUAAUAGACAGAGCAGCAGAAAGGCCUGUCUGGGUCAAAUGAUCAGAAAACUCUUCGAUUAAUGCUUGGCAGAGCAAGUCAUAAUUAUUUCUGACAUGAUAAGGCUGUCGUUCAAGGAAACUGUUAACCUCUCGACUUGACGUUGCCUUAAUAAGGUAGAUUUUGUCAUCAGUGGUUGCACCUGGAAAUUUCCGCAGGUAAAAGUCAAUGUCUUUCAAGUAGGUGCAGGUGUCAGUAGCACCUUGGUGCUCAGGUUCAAAGCGUGCUAUGUUGCGAGCAAUUUUGUCAAGAUCCCUGUCUGAGGGAAAUGGUAAGAAGCCAUCAUGAGGAGGAGAGUAGGACUCUUGGUUUAAGGAUGACCUCUCAGGGUCAAGCAGGGUCCUGUCAUGAUGCUGAGAGAGAUACGUAAGAGUUGGUUUGGAAGGAAGUGAUGGCGCUCUCUCAGGAGGCUGAUCACCUAUCAUUUCUUCAAGAAACGUUUGCUCCAUGCGUUCUCUUUGGGCUCGACCUGACUGGAGGGAGCAUUGUAACUCUCUUUGGGCAUCUUCAAGUUCUUUGUCUGUCUUUUCUUGCCGUUCUUGACAAAGAAUUAACUGUCUUUGAGCUAUCUGGAGCUGGUGCUGUAAGGUAGAAGUUUGCUUCUCCUUAACUUCAAGAGCUUCAGCACGCACUUUGACCAGUGCUUUCAAAGCUUUUACAUCUUCUGUUGCUUGCUCUAGUAGGGAUUCUGACUGUAUCAGAUCCUCUGUGGUCUUAGCAAGCUGCUUAUUCGUGUCAUCAAGUUCUUUCUCCUUUUUGUAAAGGGUUUCAUUAAGUCUUUCAAUCUUGUCUUUGAGUUCAAGAUUUUCUUCAUGACUUAUCAGUGAGGGAAGCUUUGACGCUUCACAUCUGGCACGGUGUUUUUCUAAAACACUUAGAGACUUCUUAGUCUCUUCUAGCGUCUUUUUCAGAGCGCUGUUUUCUUCUUUUUGCGUCUUGAUCUUUGCUAAAGCGCAUUCCAGCAAGUAGUCUUUAUACUCAAGCUGAGAAGACAUCAUGACAGACAUGCGUCUAGUGAGCUCUUUGUCACGAAGUGUCGUGGUUAAGGCUGUUUCCAGUAGGUCAGCCAUUUCAUCCUCCGGAUUGGAGGGUUUGGCCUUUUGAAUCUUAGUCAUGUACUGAGGUAUCAGCUGACUAGUUAAGUUUGCCAACACUGUGGGUAUGUCCCUCAGGGGGUCUCCCUGGCUGGACUCUUUUGUGUUAGGCAUGUUUUGUUUUGGUAAAGAGGUGCAGCUGGUUGGUUGAUGAGUUUGAGUUGACUUAAAAUGAAAGGAAGAAGCAAAAUAUCAAAUUAAGUGGGUUAAUCGACUUAAUUUAUCAGUGCUUGAUAAAGAGGAAGAGCCUAUCUGAGUAGAUAUCUAAUGGAGAGAAAAAUAACAUAAAGUUAAAUUCAUUUCAAUGAAAAUUGAAAGAAAAACAAGGUGAAAUAAUGUUAAAUUAAAUUUAACAUCAGAUACAGAACCAUUGAAUAAAGGGUUCAAUUUGUCUCUGUGUUGCAGAGAUCAGCAAAGCUUAAAUAGACUGCCUGGUGCAGUUGGAUGAAUUGGGAAAAAUCAAUGAAAUUGUCAAUUUAAGGAAUUAACUCUGAAGUUAAUUCACAAAUUGCAAUAAAUCCAAAGGUUCGAAUACCAAAUCUAUCUGGAAUGUUAAAAGAAAUUUCAAAUAUUAAUUAAUUUGUUCAUUAAUUAAUUAAUCUUAUGAGGAGGGUUAAUACAUUCAUGUAUUAUAGGGAACAGUAAAACUGCUCAAUGAUGUGAUAAGUAACAACAAGAUCAGGUGAUUGAUUCAAGGAGUUACUUUAUCAAUACAUUAUGUAGGCUCUUAUAACAAAGAUAAGAAUCAAAAAUCAGUGAUCAAUGAUUUAGAAUAAGCACAUCAAACUUCAUCAACCAAGUCAAUCACUUGAAUUAUGUCUGUAGAGUGUUACACACUGACUACAGAGAGGCAGUACAGCUGGCUGAUACUGCAGGCAGAUAAUAGCAGUGUUAGCUCAAUACCAAAAGCAACCAUGUGGGGCAGUAUGGAGUUGGGAGAACUGCACAAGCUCAACACAAGUGGAGAAGAAGAAGAGAAGAGGAAACAGUCAUCCAACUAGCCUCUUGUGGCUGUGAAGUUGGAAAGUAUGCAGGAAGGGGCCUUUAGGCUCUGCCUCCUUGAAGGGCCUUAUCUGCUUAAGGCCAAAAGGUCAGUCUCUCCACUGACAACAAAGGGUUAACAUUUCACAGCAGGCUGCGUCUGCACCCUCAAACAUAGAACUUUACACCAUCUGCUCAGGCAGAUUGGUUCAAUAAAAUCAUUUACAGGAACAAGAAUCAAAGUGACAAAUCCUUAAACAGCAGAUUCAACUGCAGACUUUAAAAUCACAAAUGCGGCGAUUUGUGAUCACGGAUUUUGUCUGAAUUCAUUCAAACAACAACCUCCCACUGUUACAGUGGUUUCCUGUGACAGAUAGCUUAUCUGUCAGGGGAAAGGAGGAAAUCUAAAUCCCAUAUAGUUACUAGAACUUCAUAGCAGACUAUAGAGACAAGAAUCAAAGUGACAAAUCCCUCAACAGCAGAUUCAACUGCAAACUUAAAAAUCACAAAUGCGGCGAUUUGUGAACACAAAUUUUGUCUCAAUUCAAUCAAACAACAACCUCCCACUGUUACAGUGGUUUCCUGUGACAGGUAGUUAAUCUGUCAGGGGAAAGGAGGAAAUCUGAAUCCCAUAUAGUUACUAGAACCUCGUAGCAGACUACAGAGACUUCAGGGGCUUGAAACCACAGCUCGGAGCAUCGCGAACACUGGGUUCAGCCAAAGGCCUUAAAUACAAGCGUACGGCGACGCAACAAUCGUGCACUUAAAUAUUGGACAGUCUAGACAGAGCAGAAGAAGCAGUCUCACUGCUACUCAGAACAACAUUUCACGCUGUCCAGCUCAAACACAGACUACAGGCAUGUAGUACAAGAGUGUGUGAAACACAGAGCAUAAAGGUUUUAUGCAUAGAUCAUGAAAACAUCAGAACUUAGUCAAGCAACUUCAGCAAGCAUAGCAUUGAUUGUGAUUAAGUCUAAAAUAGCCUGGGAAUAAGUUUCUCUCAUCAAUUUGGAAGCUAAGUUUUAGGUUGUCUGUUAGUAUCCAGAAGUUUUGUUUGAAACGCCUCACGCAGGGGCACCAAAAUAUAUGUAGUGAUUUGAAAUGAGCCUCACACGGUCGCACCAAAAUAAUAUGUAGUGAUUUGAAAUGAGCCUCACACGGUCGCAACAAAAUAUAUGUAGCGGUUGAAAUGAGCCUCACAAGGCCGUACCAAAAUAGUACUUGGCGAUUGGAAUUUAUAAUAAAUGUCUGAAGAUUAAUAAUCUCAAAUUAUGACAUUUAUGCACUCGUUGAAAGGGGCACCACCCACCCUUGAUGGUGGGAAAAUAAAGAAAACAAAAGUUUAAUUCAGAAAUCAAACAUCAAGUCAGUUUUAAUUAAUCAGUCUUAAUUAAUCAGUCUUAAUUAAUCAGUCUUAAUUAAUCAGUCUCAUAUCUUAAGUCGAAAUUCUAAUUUCAGGGACUCCACUUCUGGAAGAACACUAACAGACAGGAACUUAGAAAAAUAAUGAUCUGUUUAUUACAGGAUAAAUGAUGGUACAACAAACAUGCAAUAAAUGAUGAUAAGAUAAUGAGGAUAAAAUAAUAAUAGGUGAAUAAAUAAAGAUUCUGAGUCAGGCUAGGAGCACUAAAGUUAAUGAUAGUGAGUGAAUAUGCGCUAACAUAUUGACCUACACUAACUUUGGUGUCGAGAUAAACUCGGGUGUAGAUUUGGAGGAAUCUAAGAUCACCAGAAAUAGGUGGAUAUCUGAGUUAUGAACGCGUGAGACAGCAUCAGCCCUGUCUGGAGCUCUGGAGGUUUGCAUACUUAAGUGAGACUGGUCCUUGGAGAAGAUGGAGCAGGUUCCGAAGGUCCGGGGCUACUGGCGGUUCGAGCGGUUCAGCUCAGAAGACGACUGAAGUCAGCCGAAGGAUGAGCCAGGAGUUGCAGCACUCGGGCCCGAAGCAAAGCCAGCGCCUGUGGAUCCUGUGGAUGCUCGUUUGGGUACUUCUUUGGUCUCACUCAAAAACUCUGGCACAGAGGAUGACCUGGGCCUGCUGGGUUGCGUUCAGAGGUGACUUUGAAAUCACGCAGAAAACUCAGAAAACCGAGGCUCGAAGAGCAGAGAAAACUUUCAAAAAUGGCUUCGCGAAAUUAAAGAAAAAUCAAUCAAAGGCUUAAUCUUGAAUUGCUAUGCGCACAAAAAGUUGAAGUUUCAAACUUGAGCUAAGACGAUGUUAAAGAAAAAUCAACGUGAAUCAACACGUGGCGUAAAACUUAGAAGACUAAGAAAAAGUUCUAAGAGAAAACAAAGAAACGCACCACAGAAGGGUGUGGACAGAAGAGAAGGGGCAUAAGAGCCGGGGACAAGAGAGUCAGCAGAAGAGCAGAAGCAUAAGAGAAAAAAAAACAUAAGAGGAAAGAGAGGAAUAAGAGAGAAUAAGC